rnacentral:rRNA from 1 species
UACGUAUGGGGUGAGCGUUGUCCGGAUUUCUUGGGCGUAAAGAGCUCGUAGGCGGCUCGGUAAGUUGGGUGUGAAACCUCCAGGCUCAACCUGGAGACGCCACCCGAUACUGCCGUGGCUUGAGUCCGGUAGGGGAUCACGGAAUACCUGGUGUAGCGGUGAAAUGCGCAGAUAUCAGGUGGAACACCAGUGGCGAAGGCGGUGAUCUGGGCCGGUACUGACGCUGAGGAGCGAAAGCGUGGGGAGCAAACAGG